CAACAGACUUGCUCCUGGCCAGCUGAAAUUGCAUCUGUGCCAGUGGUCCCAAAGGCUGCUGUUCUUCAGCAGCUCUCAGUGCCUCCCCCUUCCCGAGGCCAAUGCCACGUGCCCUGAGCUACCAGCACUUUGUCCUCCACUGUCACUUUGCAGCCACCCUGCAUGAACCAAAGGGCUGCAUUGCCACCCAAGGAGCCUGAAGCCCUGUUGGAGAAGGAGCGUUGUGCAGUGCCUGUGUGCGAGCAGGAUGGCUGUCUUCGGGUGACACUACUUGGCUCUCCAGCUACAAAGCAUUACUGUUAUUCCUGGCAGAAAAGGGGAAAAGAUGCAAGCUGUGGAGUCUGUGACUGCAGAAGGGAAGAAGCUGUCGGAUCCCAUCUGUCGACCGGGAGGAUGAACGACCGCACGCAUCUCUGCUCUGCGCCAGCUCCCAGCCCGACUUCCAGGGGCUCAGCAUCUUCUUGGGCAACCCCAAUGGGCUGCAGUGGGGCCAGAGCCUCCCUGCAAGGUCCUUCCCGUGCCAGCCCCAGAGCGGUGGGAGUUGCUGGGUGUUGGGCCCAAAGGAGAGGGUCACACACCAUACCUCCCAGAUACAGGGCAGCUCCUGGGGUCCCGCAGUGCUAUUGGAGACAAAGGGAAGUGAAGCUAAAGAGCAGCACAGAGCAACAGCGGCUUGGAUGACACGGGUCAGUACUUCAGCACACGCAAGGCUGGUUUUUGGGAUUAAGAGCCUGCAAAUCGCAGCAUUCCACCAAGGCUGUCUCACUGGAAAAGAGCUGAGGUCAAGACCAGGAGGGACCCAGAGGUCAAAGUGCUGCCAAGAAAAAGGGCUAAACAAAGCCCAGGAUUUCUGCAGUCAAAAGCCCAGGCAUCUAAAGGCAGCAUUAAACUUGAAAUGAGAAACUGGAAAUCCUCUUUUGAUAUAUUCCUUCCCUUACUUUAAACAAGCUUUUCUUACUCACUGCACAGAUAAUGUGUGGACUUUGGACUUUCUUUUUGUAAUGUAUAAUGGAAAUUUAACGCAUCUGUGAGGAACCUGGGACUGUUUUAUAUCGCAUCCAUGGUGUUUUGGGGCCCUCCUGCAACUCAGAAUACAACAUCAAUGGCAAAGUGGGACUUUGUGUUCAAGAGAGGUGGACAUAACCUUCCCCAUCCCCAUGUCUACGUACUUGUAGGCAGCUAGAGGUGAAUACCCUGAAAUAAGAGGAGCCACAGCUCGCUUCCCCUUGUGCUAACACUAUCUCAGUCUGGUCUGCAGUGCUUUCCCACUGAUACAAGGACAACUUUAGUGCUGCUGGUGUCUCCAGGACAUCCCAAGAACCAGGAGGUGUUUUUUAAUGGGGAUUUGCCCUGAAGUACAGCCAA
ensembl:lncRNA